UAUCAUGUCAACCCUGAUACACACUCACUCUCUGAUUUUAGAUGGAUAUGAUUGUUUAGUACGAUGGGCACAGAACCACCAAGAAGCUCUAUCCCCGGAGGCAGAACAAGUAUUUCAGGAAGCGAGCACUAUCAUGGAAACCCCUCAGGAUUUAUGGUUACAAUGCCUAGCCUUAUCACAUCAUGCGACGACCAUGGGGAGACUAGCUACCAUACAUUUUCUAUGUCGACAUAUGAAAACAAUUCUGCCCCAGAAAUGGUACGGACUGAACCUGACCCGUUAUUUCGGAAAGCCUUACAGUUUCCUGACCCAUCCCCAAGCGGCCAAAGUGAUUUUACUGUGGCAGGACAUAGAUGCGAUGGAGAAAGUAUGUAUUCAAUACGGAAUGAAAUACCUGGAAAUUUCACACAGGCUAGGAAAUCAGUGACUUUUAAUACCAGCCUCAAUCAAAUCUACGAAUUACCCCCCGAAGACCGGAGAAGUCCCUGGAUGCAAUUAGUAGCGGAUCGAAUACGAUUUCGGAGGAGAAUUCGACAGUUAGAAGCUUUGUUAGUUUUUAAGAAAUAAAAUAAAAAAAAUCAUGUAAUACUACAUCACUUGUUAUGUUAUUGUAUGACUUCAUCUUUAUACAGUCGGGUUCGGCGGCCAUGGCGAAUCUCGGCAAGAUUUUACCCCAGUGAAAAAGGCUUGUAAUCCACCGUUCCUCAACCUGGAAGAUAUGUUUUGUUCCUAACCAUCUAUAAUCCAUUCUCUAUGAAGUGAAGCCUGGCUGCUGGUCUUCCUUUGGAAAUACACAGUGAAUCAAUUAUGAUAAAAACAAAACAAACUUGAAUCUAAAAGUUUCAAUGAGAUAUCAUUUUAAUUUAUUUAUUUAAUUAU